AUGAUCAGCCACACUGGAACUGAGACAAGGUCCAGAUUCCUACGGGAGGCAGCAGUAAUGAAUUAUGGUCAAUGGGGAAACCCUGAACAAGCGACGCCGCGUGUGGGAUGAAGGGGCUUUGCCCUGUAAACCACUGUCAGAAGGGAAGAAAAGUCCGGUUACCGGACUGGGACUGUACCUUCAAAGGAAGGUUCGGCUAACUACGUGCCAGCAGCCGCGGUAAUACGUAGGAUCUAAGCGUUGUCCGGAUUUACUGGGUGUAAAGGGUGCGCAGGCGGGCUUGUGCGUCAGGGGUAAAAUCCACCGGCUCAACCGGUGAACCGCCCUUGAUACGGCAAGUCUUGAGUGCGAGAGAGGAUGGUAGAAUUCCUGGUGUAGCGGUGAAAUGCGUAGAUAUCAGGAGGAAUACCAGUGGCGAAGGCGGCCAUCUGGCUCGCAACUGACGCUCAGGCACGAAAGCGUGGGGAGCAAACAGGAUUAGAUACCCUGGUAGUCCACGCCCU
rnacentral:rRNA from 1 species